GUAUAAUUAUAAGUGCUUAUAUAACCUGCAGAGGACGCGGGUUCCCAUCGACAAAAUGUCAGUUUUGUUAUUUUUUUUGGACUAGAUGUCAGUUUUGUUAUUUUUACCUUUUUAGUUAAUGAAUACAAAUUUACUAGAAUGCCUCCAUCUUCUUCCUUUCACCUGUUGCACCAAGAACUCUAAUUCUGUUUUUCACUUAUUUUUAUGAUGUUUAUGCCCAGUUAUGAUAGCUUCACAAAGAAAUUUAUGAUUAUGAGCUAACACUUUAGAAAAUUAGAUUUGUUUGGGAAAGAUCCAAGUUUUGGAGGGACUGAGGCGAAACGCACAUGCACUUUUUAGAACAAAUAUUUGUAUCCCAAGAUCUCCUGCAGUUUUCUAUCAAUAAAAUAUAAUAUAGUGAUCGGUUUGUCUAGACAUGUGUAAGAGGAAUAUUUACACUAGGUCCAACAAAAUCAAAACUUCGUAUAGCAACUAGAGAAAUUUUUUUGGGUAUAAAUAUUAAAUUUUAUACCAUUUUCAUUUUUGACAGAUUUUACAAUGAAAACAAGUAGCAAAAAAAGAGAGUUAAAACAUCUAAACAACACCGAAUAGAAAAGCAAAACAUAGCAAAAUACAAGAAUGCAAAAACUGAUACCAAUCUUGAAUAACACAACAACGCAUUUUGCAUAGGAUCGCAGUGCGCCAAGAGCUGGAAUCUCAUUGUUGUGGCUGCUAAGUUGCCGCGAAUCUACAGAUGAUUGGGCAGCAAAUAGAUAGAUAUUUUUAUUUUCAAAACCUUAGAGCCCUUUUUGCAAAACCAAUUUAUUUGUUUCCACAAAAUUAGAAUUUGCUCAGGGUCCACAUUAACAAUGGGACUCCCCUGAUAGCGAAACUCAACUCAAACAACUAUGAUCUAUAAGAUUCAAGGACAUUUCCAAUUAUUUUGAAGUUAGGUAUGAAGUUUGUAAGUAUGACUUUAAUUAUAUUUAUUUAUUAAACAAAAAAAACACGUUUCCUACGCUUUUAAAAUUUAUUUUAUUUAUAACCCUUUGAUUUGAGGAGAUGCAUGCAGAUAUCAAAAUUAAACGUUAACUAUCUAUUCAACGGCCUGAUGGAUCUAAAGAAGUUAACAUCAAAUGUGAAGCAAAUACAAGAUUAUGUAUGAAAGGAGAUACUUACGCUUAAUGCUAAUACAGAGUAUCUCCGAGGCUACCUCCAUGGAAGCUGUGAUAAAGAGUUAUUCAAGAAGAACGUACCGGUAGUAAGCUACGAUGAUGUUAAGCCUUAUAUCGAACGCGUUGUGAAUGGAGAACCUUCAAAUGUUAUUUCUGGAAAACCCAUUACUCGAUUUCUGUUGAGCUCAGGAACUACUGCAGGGAAACAAAAGAUCUUCCCAGUUAACAACAAGUUCUUUGAGGACAUGUCAUUUGUCAUUGCUCUAGGCUCAUUCCUUAUAUCAAAGUACAGUAAAACCUCUAUAAAUUAAUAAUGUUGCGACAUUGAAAUUUUAUUAAUUUAUAGAGAUAUUAAUUUACAAAAGUUUCCUUAUUUAGAUUUUUAUUUUAAAAUAUAUUUAUUCUAAAAUAAUAAAAAUAUUUGAUUUUAGUGUAUAGACAUUAAUAGUUAUUUUUUUGAAAUUUGACAUUUAUAUUAGUUUUAUUAUAUUAUUUGUUGUAUAUAAUAUAUAUUGCAUAGAACUUCAAUAUGGUUUUAGAUAUAAUAUUACUAAAUCUCAUCAAAAAUAUAUUAAGUGUUAAGAAAAUAUAAAGAUAAUUUUACUGUGAAUAUAAAACACAAAAAUAUAAUAAUAGGUGCUUAUUUAUAUAAAUUAUGUAUACAUAUAAAUUAUUAAUUUAUAAUUUUAAUGGGACCAUAUAUUAUUGUAUCGAUUUGUGUCAAAUUUUGAACCGGCCCAAGUUGGGACAUGCAAAAUUUAUUAAUUUAUAGAGAUUAUUAAUUUAUCAAGUAUUAAUUUAUAGAUGUUCUACUGUAUACUUUUAUCUUAAACUAGACCUUAAUCCGCGUAACUACGCGGCUAUUUAUUUUCACAUUUAUAUAUGUAGAAAUUUUUUAUAUUAUUAAUGACAUAUAUAUAUAUAUAUAUAUACACUAUCUUUUAAAAUGUUUAUAUGCUUUUUUUUACAUGUUUGUUAUUUAAUUAAUUGUUUGAAACUGACAAGUAUUUGUAACUUCUUAUUAUAUAUUUGGUAGUACUAAUUGGAUUUGCGUUUGAUUAUUAGAUGACUUUGAAAGAUUAAACAAUUUGGAAAUUGUUUUGUAUGCAAUUCAUACAUUAUUUAAAUAUCAUAUCAAAAAUUAUAAGUAAUGAAAAAAAUUAAUGGGUUUAGUAAAAUUUGCAUUUUAUGACAAUUCUAAAAUAUUCAAAUACACUAAUUUCAAAACAUUUAGUAUUAGUUAUUUAUAUUAUUAAAAAAUAAGUUUAAAUUACCAUUUAAAUUAGGUAUGAGAUGUUGAACAGAACCAAGCCUGCUGAACAUAACCAAACCGAAAUAAAGGUGAGAAAUUUGGUUCGGUUCGUCAAGUUUAUAAAAAACUUUAAUUUUCGGUUCAGUUUGCUUCGGUAAUCGGUUAGAUUUUGGUAAAAAUAGCUGAAAUUAUCCAAAUUUAACCAAAUUUUAACAGAAACAUAAUCGAAACUAUAAACUUUGGUUAGUUUCUGUAAAAAAAAAUUAAAAACAAUCUACCCGAAUACCAAACCGAAAUAAACUUUUUUGUUUAAUUUGGCGAGAGUUUGGUCGAACCAAACUACCCAAAUUCCGAACUACCCGAACCCGCAUGCCUAAUUUAAAUCAAUCAUUUAUCCUAUUAAAUUGGGCUUUACAUAUAUAUAUACUAGACCUUGACCCGCGCGCUCGCGCAUGUGUUCUUUUUCGGUUUGCAAUUUUUAAUAUUUAUUAUAUUUUAUAUAAGUAUGAUGUGGUUAAUAAUGUAGUCUAUGCUAAUUUAAAAAAUUAAAAUGAUAAAUUACAUUAGUUAUUUCUUAUAUAUCAAUUUUUUUGAAAUAUAGGGUUGUUAAUCAUAGAGUUUGUUUGUAUUUAUAACCAAUUAAAAUAAAUAUUAAUAUUUUUCUAUCCAUUAAUUUGUAUUAGAAAAUAUAUUUUUUAUAUUUUGAAAAAUGCAUAAGUUCAUGUUAAAUUAUUAACAUUAUUUCUAAUUAUAGAUAAAAUAUAGUUGGGUAGAUAAUUUAUAGUUGAAUCAUUAGAAUAUACAAAAUAAAUGGGUUUGGUUCAAUAUCUAUCACUAAAAUAUUUAACAACUUUUUGUGAUAGCUAUAUAUAAAUUGGUUUUUUAAUUGUUGGUGGUACACAUGUUAGACUGUAUAAUAAGUUAAGAGUAUUUUACACUAUAAGACAGUUUCCAAGUUUUUAUUACAUUCUAGGUCAGUUAUCACUAUUGAGGUAGUUUUUUAUGACUAGAAACCAAACCACCGUUAACUAGAUUCUUUUUAUCUAACUAAAGUGGUUCCACAAUUUUCUAAAAUUUAUUACUUUUCUUCUCUUUUUCGAGAGUAAACAAACAUAAUUAUGAAAUCAAAAAGCUUCUUCUUCACAUCUCAAUCUUCAACUUCUCGAUCUCAGGUCAUCUAUGCCACAAUUCCUCUCGCCGUGUUUCCUGGUCAUCCUCUGUGACUGCCGGUGAACCUCCGUCGAGCUCGGUCGCGAAACUGCAUGUUCGUCUUCUCCUUCGCCGUGAAAUCAACACAAACAAAUUCUUCCUCCAUGUCGUGCUAUUCAUUUCAUCUCCCUUGUGCUCGUGGUGGUUGUGAUGUUCGAAAUCCGCCGCAGUGGCCGUGUUUCGAUUCAUCUCCCUUGUCCUCUUCAGCUCAUUUCCCUUGACAAAAACUCACUAUUUUUAAAAUCUGAAUUUGAAAAACAUUCUAUAAAUGAUAAAACUAUGAUCAUGAAGUGUAACCUAUAAUUAAAACGUAAAAGAAUGAAAGAUUUUGUGGAAAAAAUCAAUAGCGGCCGCAAAUUUAUUGCAGAAAACCCAAAAUUCUGGAAAAUACGAAGACAUAUUUACUAAAAUGCCACUGAUUAAAAAAAUUGAAAAUAAACAAAGUAUGUACAUAUUCAUGGGUUGUACACAUGGAUAAGAAUGUGCAUGUACACUAUUAGAUUAGUAAUUUGUAAACACAUCUAAAGUUGUUUGUGUGUUUAACAUAUACUUAUAAAGAAAUUUACAUGUACACAUAUGUUUUUGACAUCGACAAGGGCUACAUGUACAAUAUACAUAUUAUAUCUUAUCAGAUAUUUACAUGUACACAUAUGUUUGAGAUACAUGUUAUAUGUCCAGUAUGUUGUAAACUUGUGUACAUGUUUGAGAUACAAUUUUCAUAUAUUUAUAUGUACACAUAUGUUUGAGUGUUAUCUUUUUGUUAGCUAAAUAUGUACCUUGACAUAAGUGUUAUCUUUGUUGUGACAUCACUCUUCAUCAUGCUUCAAACUGUUAGAACACAUGAAUAUGCAAAAAUUAUCAACGUGUACAUAUAAUGUAUUAUCCACAUGUACGUUUAGAUGAAUUAUAUCCACGUGUACACCAUUAUGAACAAAAGUGCAAAAAGAUGAUACUCCUCCAUUGUUAUUGCA